rnacentral:lncRNA from 1 species
AUGCUGAUUAUUUUUAUCUACUUGCUUCUUUCUCCUUUCCCCCAGCAGCACCACAGUCUACAGGAGUUCUUUAGAGUGAACCCUUUCAAAUAUGAACACCAUUGUUUCACUGUUCCUCCUCAUGGACCUGACCUAAAUCUCCUCUGUGGUAAGGAAAAUUAUUUUCCUUACAAAACUGCAGUCCUGCCACUGAAUAUAUUGCCAAAAUCUGAAGUCUUCCUUGCUCUUUCCUGGGACUUUAAUGAUCCAGUGCAGAGGGUGAAGGUGCUGGAGAAGAAAUGUGGAUGUGCUGCAGAAACCAUUGCAGAUGAAAGAAGAAGAAGAAGAUCCUGUCCUGCCUUUGUUGGCCACAAGGUACCCACUGCUGGUUCCAGUAAACACAAGGCUGAAUGGAAACAUUUGUGAGCCAAAGGCAUCGGUGUCUGCCUCGUAAAAUCUCAAACUGAGAAAUGAGGGAUUAAAUGGCUGUGAACCCUUAAUUAAGUGCUCAGCACCAACGUGCCCUCCUGCUGGAGCCUGAGACGUGCUGAUAGGAGCUGGUGAGGAGCUGGAGCUUGUGGUACUCCUGAUUUUCAAGGUGGAAAAAAGUCCUGCGCUCUCUCUUUUUGAGACACCAUCUCAUGUGUGGCUGGUUCACAGGGCAGACUCCAAAACCAGUGGCAGUGGUGGGUUUUUAGUGGAAUGCAGUUAUUCUGGGAGAAGCAAAUUCCUGGGUGUGCGAG